AUAACAUUUAUCCUACUUCUUC
rnacentral:miRNA from 1 species